rnacentral:rRNA from 1 species
GAUGAGCGCUGGCGGCGUGCCUAAUACAUGCAAGUAGAACGCUGAAGGAGGAGCUUGCUCUUCUGGAUGAGUUGCGAACGGGUGAGUAACGCGUAGGUAACCUGCCUGGUAGCGGGGGAUAACUAUUGGAAACGAUAGCUAAUACCGCAUGACAACAGUUAUUGCAUGAUAACUGUUUAAAAGGGGCAACUGCUCCACUACCAGAUGGACCUGCGUUGUAUUAGCUAGUUGGUGAGGUAACGGCUCACCAAGGCGACGAUACAUAGCCGACCUGAGAGGGUGAUCGGCCACACUGGGACUGAGACACGGCCCAGACUCCUACGGGAGGCAGCAGUAGGGAAUCUUCGGCAAUGGACGGAAGUCUGACCGAGCAACGCCGCGUGUGUGAAGAAGGUUUUCGGAUCGUAAAACUCUGUUGUAAGAGAAGAACGAGUGUGAGAGUGGAAAGUUCACACUGUGACGGUAUCUUACCAGAAAGGGACGGCUAACUACGUG